AGGGAUAUAGUUAAAUUAACAUUUGAUUUGCAUUCAAAAAAUAUUGAAAUAUCAAUUUUCCUU
rnacentral:tRNA from 1 species